AAGGAUUUAAGUUAAGUAAACUAGGAAUCUUCAAAGUUCCAAUUAUAGGCCCCCCCCCUUUAAGCCUUG
rnacentral:tRNA from 1 species